rnacentral:rRNA from 1 species
AUGCUAAGCAUAACACUGUGCAUAAUUGCAGAGUACGGAGAAGGCUGUGCUGUCUCAACCGCUGGUGAUAUUUGUAGUCUUGGCAUAUUGUUGCUUGAGAUGUUUACGGGAAGAAGCCCAACAGAAGGCACGUUCCGAGAUUCAUUGGGUCUGCAUAAGUUUGUCGAGGAUGCUCUUCCAGAUCGAACCUUGGAGAUAGCGGACCCGACAAUUUGGUUGCACAACGGAGAAAACAAUAACACCACAAGUAUUAGAAUUCAAGAGUUAUUUUUUUUCAGUGUUGAGCCUUGGCAUAUCCUGCUCAAAGCAACAUCCUCGUGA